rnacentral:lncRNA from 1 species
GAAACACCCAAGUGGUGAUACCAGUAAGUCAGCAAGUGAGCUAACCAGGGAGGAUUCCCCGGGGCAGGCAUGACUGUUUUGGAACCCGGAAGAAUGUUGAAGAAUGUUGACGUCCCCAGCUGGUCCUGUGUCUUUCCUGUGGCUUUCUGCAGUGGAGCGGCUGCUCCAGUCUAAGUUCUGCAAGUCUAAAGAUCAGGAGAGCCGAGCAGCACUUCAUUGGCACUGACAAAGGGCGGAGCCUGACUUUGCUCAGCUGGCAGUCCUGCAUUUUGGCAAUGCAUUCUUGGAUUAAGAACUCAGCCUCCAUUAUUAAGAUCCAGAGAAUCCAGCUAAGGUCAGUCAUUCUUCCCCUUCUCCCUCUGAAGAGCAUUUAGCCAGUCUC